ACGGGUGAGUAACACGUGGGAACGUACCCUUUGGUUCGGAAUAACGCUGGGAAACUAGCGCUAAUACCGGAUACGCCCUUUUGGGGAAAGGCUUGCUGCCGAAGGAUCGGCCCGCGUCUGAUUAGCUAGUUGGUGGGGUAAUGGCCUACCAAGGCGACGAUCAGUAGCUGGUCUGAGAGGAUGAUCAGCCACACUGGGACUGAGACACGGCCCAGACUCCUACGGGAGGCAGCAGUGGGGAAUAUUGGACAAUGGGCGCAAGCCUGAUCCAGCCAUGCCGCGUGAGUGAUGAAGGCCUUAGGGUUGUAAAGCUCUUUUGUCCGGGACGAUAAUGACGGUACCGGAAGAAUAAGCCCCGGCUAACUUCGUGCCAGCAGCCGCGGUAAUACGAAGGGGGCUAGCGUUGCUCGGAAUCACUGGGCGUAAAGGGCGCGUAGGCGGCCAUUCAAGUCGGGGGUGAAAGCCUGUGGCUCAACCACAGAAUUGCCUUCGAUACUGUUUGGCUUGAGUUUGGUAGAGGUUGGUGGAACUGCGAGU
rnacentral:rRNA from 1 species